rnacentral:tRNA from 1 species
GCCCGAGUGGCGGAAUGGUAGACGCAGGGGAUUCAAAAUCCCCCGCUGGAAACAGUGUGUGGGUUCGAGUCCCACCUCGGGCA